rnacentral:lncRNA from 11 species
CGUCCCUUUCUCUCAUUGGCUGUGAGGAGCGAAGCGGGACGCGCAUGCGUACCAAGGGAAGGCGGCCAUUUUGGCGGCCAUUCGUCCUGGAAAAAAGGCGGGAAACCUGAGGAGAACCUUCGUGGCUUCUGUCGCCGUCGAGCUCCUCCGGGCAGCCCCAGCGCGACCCUGGACCCUGGUUUCCGAAAUGCCGGAUGACGUGAACGACGAUAGCUUCGACAUUUUGAGACAAACCAUCGCGCAGUGCCUCAAUUUAUCCGGGCCCUUCGAGAAGCCAGGUAUAAAUCCUGAUGAAACCCAAUGGCAGGCGGCACGCAGACAAGACAAGGCGGCCGGGAUCAGUUUUACGGUGCCGGCGAAGUUCCUGGCAUGCGGCCCGCCCAAGAAAGGACCAUUCCACAAGCCGUGUCCUCCACAGAACCCUCGAGGGGCUUCCGGGACCACCAGUGGUGCCCAGGGGGGCGGAAGGGGCUCCGCGGCCUCCGUCCGUGAGCAACGUGGACCCUCGGAAAACCCUCGGGGCAUUUCUCCAGCAAGGCCUUCGACGUCCAGUGGUCGUGGCAAGAGCUCUGCGGCCUCGUUCCAUGUGGAACUUGGACGUCCGAAGGGCUCUUUGGGAAACUCUCAGAGCAUUUUUCCAGCAAGGGCUUCGACUUCCAGUGGAAUGACUUUGGCUUCUAGCGAUACAUCCGGUGCCUCACCUGGCCUUCCGCACGCACGGCAAGUGCCGCUGGCCAGAGCGGCUGAGGGCGAGGCUCCGUCGACCAGCCGCCGCACCCGAGACAUCCUGACGUCUUAUGCUCAUACAUUGCAGUGUAGUUCUGAGCAAGACCCCAUUCCUCUUGGGCCGAACACUGCACACAAGACCUGCACAUGGCCAGAAGACCGGGAGGAAGAUCUUAUGUUUUGUGCUGCCGCCGCAGAAGUCUCUCCCAGCGCUUCGCCUGCGCCUGUGAGGAAGGGGACGGAGGCACCCAGCAGAGGAAAGGUGCCAACCCAGAAGCACAAUGCGGAGGAGCAACUAGCUGUGAAGAAGGUGGUGGAGCCACCCAGCAGAGGAAAGCUGACAUUCAAGCUGGGACCAGGCUACUUCCUGCAGGCUGCUCGGGAGUUUGAAAGUAGUGAAGAAGAACAGGGGAGCAGCCCUGCACCUCAGAAGGCAGCGCAGGAGGACAACGUGGAGCAACUAGGCCGUCCUUCCUUGGUGGACGUCACCUCUCGCGGGCUCUUGUCUGGAAAUACAGUGGAGGACAGUACAGAAGACUUAAGCAAGAACAAAGGGCCAGAGGCUAAGAAAGGAGGCGGGAAAGUGGCCGGGAAGCAGAAACAUCUGGUCCUUGAUAUAGAUAACCCUGAGACGUCCACCACAUCAAUGCAGGCCACAGAAAAAGCUGCGAGGCAAAAUUCUGCCGGAGCGUUGCAAAACUGGUUAGAUAAAGUGCCGUGUCAGAAACCUCCACUGAAAUUAAUCAGAGCCCCCAAGAGGAUCCGGAUGGAGGAGACGCAAGUCCAACCUCAUCCUCCAGCGACGGAGCCCAACAGAGAACAACCUCUCUGCACGGAGAGAUCACGGGAACCUGAGAGGGCUCAAGAGGCAGGAGAAGGCACCCGUGGACGUCCACUGCAACAGACCGGAGUUCAAAUACUGGAACGUGUGGGAAGACGCCCUUUUCACGUGGCCUACGACCCACCGAUACCUGAACUCUGCGCUCAAGUGCGCGCUACAAAAAUCUCAAAAGCCUUGCUGGGUUGGGCAGCUUGCGUUCUCACCAAAGAAC